rnacentral:rRNA from 1 species
UACGUAGGGGGCAAGCGUUGUCCGGAUUUAUUGGGCGUAAAGCGCUCGCAGGUGGUCCGCUGCGUCGUGCGUGAAAGACCCCGGCUCAACUGGGGAGGGUCGUGCGAAACGGGUGAACUAGAGGCCGAGUAGGGGGAUGCGGAAUUCCGGGUGUAGUGGUGGAAUGCGUAGAGAUCCGGAGGAACACCAGCGGCGAAGGCGGCAUCCUGGACUGGUCCUGACACUCAGGAGCGAAAGCGUGGGGAGCGAGUCCGG